UGAAAAAAGGGACGUGGAGCAAAAGGGACAUGGCAUCCGUGGAAAGGGACAUGGGGCAAAAGGGACACAGUGCCCAUGGAAAAGGGACAUGGAGGAAAAAGGGAAAUGGAGCUAAAGAAAGGGACACAGUGCCCACGGAAAGGGACACAGUGCCCACGGAAAGGGGGACAUGGUGCAAAAGGGAACGUGGAGCAAAAGGGACAUGGCAUCCACAGAAAGGAAACAUGGAAAAAAAAGGACAGAGGAAAAGGGACACGGUGCCCAUGGAAAAGGGGACACAGAGCCAAAGGGACACAGAGCAAAGGGGACACGGAGCAAAGGGGACAUGGAGCAAAGGGGACAUGGAGCCCACGGAAAAGGGGUCACGGUGCAAAAGGGGCACAGAGCCAAAGGGGACACGGUGCAAAAGGGGCACGGUGCAAAAGGGGCACAGAACAAAAGGGACAUGGAGCAAAGGGGACAUGGAGCCCAUGGAAAGGGGCACAGAGCCAAAGGGGACACAGAGCAAAAGGGACAUGGCACAAAAGGAAAAGAGGACAUGGAGCAAAAGGGACACGGUGCUUACAGAAGCAGACACGGAGCCAAAGGAGCCCAGAGCCCACUGAAAGGAGAUAUGGAGAAAAAGGGACACGGAGCCCACGGAAAAGCAAAAGAGACACAGCCUCCACGGAAAGGGGACAUGGAGCAAAAGGGACACUGUGCCCAUGGAAAGGGACACAAAGGGAAAGGGACAUGGCAUUUAUGGAAACGGGACAUGGAGCAAAAGGGACACGGGCCUAUGGGGACACGGGGCAAAAGGGGCACAGAGAAAAAGGGACAUGGAGCAAAGGGGACACGGAGCCCACAGAAAGGGACACAGAGCAAAAGGGACACGACGCAAAAGGAAAAGGGACACGGCACAAAAGGGACACUGUGCCCACGGAAAGGGACAUGGAGGAAAAGGACAUGGAAGAAAAGGGACACUGUGGUCAAGAAAAGGGACACGGCUCAAAAGGGAUAUGACAGAAAAGGGGACACGGAGCCCAUGGAAAGGAGGAUGGAGCAAAAGGGACAUGGCGCAAAAGGGACACUGUGGCGAUGGAAAGGGACACGGAGGAAAAGGACAACGAGGAAAAGGGACAUGGAGGAAAAGGGACACGACAGAAAAGGGGACACGACAGAAAAGGACACGGAGAAUAAAGGGACACGGAGGAAAAGGAAAAGGGACACGGCACAAAAGGGACACUGUGCCCACGGAAAGGGACAUGGAGGAAAAGGACAUGGAAGAAAAGGGACACUGUGGUCAAGAAAAGGGACACGGCUCAAAAGGGAUAUGACAGAAAAGGGGACACGGAGCCCAUGGAAAGGAGGAUGGAGCAAAAGGGACACAGCGCAAAAAGGACACUGUGGCGAUGGAAAGGGACACGGAGGAAAAGGACACGGAGGAAAAGGGACAUGGAGGAAAAGGGACACAACAGAAAAGGGGGCAUGGAGGAAAAGGACACGGAGAAUAAAGGGACACGGAGGAAAAGGACACGGAGGAAAAGGGACAGGACAGAAAAGGGACACGGCAGCCAGGCAGCAGAAGGAGCCCCGGAGGACGCGGCAGCCGCGCUCCCAGCCCGCUGCCAAAGCCACUCGCUGCCCCCGGUAACGUGGCAGGCGGCACAAACGGAGCAAUUACCAGAAUUUCAUUUUCAUUAACUAAUAAACCCGGGAAAACAAUUUGAGUAUCUGAAUGUCAUUUUUCAAAGGAAAAUAAACUGUAAACAUUUGAAUAACAUCACAGCAGGGAUAAUAUACCUAAGGAAACCUAUUGAAAUAUGCUGGAGAAUUCCUCCUCUUUCAUCACAUUAAAACUGCAAUUGACUGUAAAC
rnacentral:lncRNA from 12 species